GCCUGGAUAGCUCAGUUGGUUAGAGUGCGAUGUUGAUAAUGCCAAGGUUGCAGGUUUGAUUCCUUUAUGGGACA